GAUGAACGCUGGCGGCGUGCCUAAUACAUGCAAGUCGAGCGAACAGACGAGGAGCUUGCUCCUCUGACGUUAGCGGCGGACGGGUGAGUAACACGUGGAUAACCUACCUAUAAGACUGGGAUAACUUCGGGAAACCGGAGCUAAUACCGGAUAAUAUAUUGAACCGCAUGGUUCAAUGGUGAAAGACGGUCUUGCUGUCACUUAUAGAUGGAUCCGCGCCGCAUUAGCUAGUUGGUAAGGUAACGGCUUACCAAGGCAACGAUGCGUAGCCGACCUGAGAGGGUGAUCGGCCACACUGGAACUGAGACACGGUCCAGACUCCUACGGGAGGCAGCAGUAGGGAAUCUUCCGCAAUGGGCGAAAGCCUGACGGAGCAACGCCGCGUGAGUGAUGAAGGUCUUCGGAUCGUAAAACUCUGUUAUUAGGGAAGAACAAAUGUGUAAGUAACUAUGCACGUCUUGACGGUACCUAAUCAGAAAGCCACGGCUAACUACGUG
rnacentral:rRNA from 1 species